CAGUCGCCGCGGUAAUACGGAGGGUGCAAGCGUUAAUCGGAACUACUGGGCGUAAAGCGCACGUAGGCGGCUUGGUAAGUUAGAGGUGAAAGCCCGGAGCUCAACUCCGGAAUUGCCUUUAAGACUGCCGAGCUAGUAGGUGAGAGAGGUAAGUGGAAUUCCGAGUGUAGAGGUGAAAUUCGCAGAUAUUCGGAAGAACACCAGUGGCGAAGGCGGCUUACUGGCUCAUUCUAGACGCUGAGGUGCGAAAGCGUGGGGAGCAAACAGGAUUAGAUACCCCGUAGUCCCUGUCUCUUAUACA
rnacentral:rRNA from 1 species